GCCGCCUUAGCUCAGCCGGUAGAGCAUCGCAUUCGUAAUGCGGGGGUCGGGUGUUCGAGUCACCCAGGCGGCACCA
rnacentral:tRNA from 2 species